rnacentral:tRNA from 1 species
GGAGGGUACAGCUCAGUGGUAGAGCAUGUGCUUAGCAUGCACGAGGUCCUGGGUCCCAUCCCCAGUCCCUCCA